AUGAAGAUCAUCGUUCUGUCCUUCUUCCUGCUCCUCCUCAACCUCAGCAGUACGAAGUGUCAAAGUCUGGAGUCGAUUCCUGCAGUUCCAGUGCAGAAGAAACCUGGAGAAGCUCUGAGUCUCUCCUGUAGAGGAUCUGGCUUUAAUUUCGGGAGCUAUGGCAUGAACUGGAUCAGACAGCAGCCUGGUAAAGCCCUGGUGUGGAUGGGAGUUAUCUGGUAUGAUGCCAGUAAAACUAUAUACGCCAAACAGUUUGAGGGUCGCCUGGAAAUCACCAGAGAUAAUCCCAACAACAUGGUGUAUCUGAAACUGACUGGACUGACAGUAGAAGACACUGCUGUGUAUUACUGUACAGGGGCCCACGGUGGUACAGACAUGAGCACCAGCUGUACAAAAACAAACGCAGGUUGA